rnacentral:lncRNA from 1 species
CGGAAUUUCGUGCCGAUUGUCGUGGUGCAGACUGUUUAUUUAUUUGAGCUCUACGUUGUGUGGAAUUGAAUUUAUUGUGGAAUUUUAGGAAUUGUCCUAAAUUGUUUGUUAUUGAAUAUUUGAUUGGAAAUGGCCAAGUAUGGGUAUAUAGCGCCAGUACGUUGAUGGGCUAUAUAGUAGGGAGAAUGGUGAGAGCUAACUGAGAAUGUUAUUGGCUGAGACCAAUUAGGUACGAUAUUAUUGGACAUACGUGGUUCGGUGAUUGGAAGUAUCACUGGCGAAAACGGCGCCUUAAAGAACGCAUGUAAAUGACUUAUAGACAAACGUGGUUCGGUGGUUAUGGGAAUAUCACUGGUGAAAACGGCGC